AUUAUUUGCUACCUGUAAUUUUCUGAUGUGGUAGAGGGUGAUCCCUUGGUGAAAGUGCCACAGGAUGAAAGGGAGGAAUUAAAAGAGAUUAUCAGAGAGGGCGAAAUGGUAGCUAGAACAGUAAUACAGGCAGCCAUGGACACCUCUGACGUAGCCAUGAGUCUGAUAGUCAUAGCAGUGACCGUGAGAUUUGUCGCCUGGCUAUUAGCCUAAAGAAUAUCAACAUAGGCUCUUUUGACCACAUACAUAUUCAAGAAGCUUGGUCACCAGAUGACGAUAUAUUGCAUAUAAAAGUCCGACAGCUCAGAAACCUCAGAUUGGCCAGGAUAUAGUAUCUCUACCUAUUCUCUGGAACUCAGUAGUACAAAUUUUCAUAAACAUGACAUCUGUGCAUUACUUAAAUAAUGGGAUGCCCAUUUCUCAUCUCUGUCUGAAAGCCAUCAAGCUCUGUACAUGAUGAUGUUUCAGGGGGUGACCGUGUUGGUCGUUCUCCUUCUAGAGGUCAGCCAUGAUGACCAGCCAUGAAUGGUCCCUGCACAAAUCUAUUGUAAGACCAAUAUUCUGGUAUUGGGAAUCUCCUCCCACCGCCCUAUGGACUAUUUUGCCGCCAAAUACAAUGUCAAAUGUCAAAGCUCUUCUUCCAGAGAAGAACUAAGCCAAGGAUUGUUGCCAAACAUCCUCCUUGUACAGUGGUACAGACAUCUCUACACUUUACUACUCUUUCCUCUGAUUCCUAGAGGAGAUUCAAGAUCAGGAGACUUAGAGCCAUGGAGAGGCAGUCUUGGCUGACAACCCUGUUAUAAAUGCCUGAUCAGCCUCUAUUUGAGCUCCUGGUUCAUCUAGAUGUGAUCUCAUAACACAAUGACCAGAUGCUCCAUCCAGACCUGGAAUUGCUCCCGUUGAGAGCAUGUUUGUUGGCUAGUUAAAUACCAUUAAUAGACAUACUGCUCUCUACAGGUCUGGCAAACGUUGACUCAGAACAGGAAAAAUCUAAAUGGAAUAUACCCAGCCUAGCUGGGUCCCUGCCCAAGUCUUGAUACUGUAGAUCCUUGACUACCUGCUACACUUGAAAAAACAAGCUGACCUGUUGUUCAGCUAUAAUAUUCCACUUCAUGACAAUUUCAGCAUGCCAUUGCCUGUACAGUUGUCAAGGUGGAUUUAGAUUGAGAUUAUUUAAAUCAAGAUUUAAAUAACCAGGUGGAAAACUUUUAUUGUAAAUAAUCAAUUUUAAUCAGUCUUUCUACUUGUACCCUUAUUUUCUAAAGAAAAUUGCAUAUUCUCGUUGGUUCAUAUAGUAAUUAAAACAAGUUGUUUUACAGAGCCAUAAAGCCUUUACACUAGAUUUGUCUUUUUGCUACCCAGGAAGGUAUACUAUAACUAUAUUUUUAAAAAUCUUAAUUAAGCAAUUAUAUAGAAAAAAAUUUCAGAUUAUUAAGUAUAUAUUUUUAGUAUGUUAGAAAAUGGUAAAUGAUACUACUUAUUUACUUGCUAAUUAACUUUUUAGUCAUGAUUUGUAUCAAGCUGCAUAAGUAUGGAUAUAAAUGCCAAACAGCAUAUAAAAUCUACUUUUUAUUAAAGCAACCUGUGUGCCUGCAGAAGAGGUUACUGCUGCAGAAAAUUGGUUCUGAGAGCAUGCUCAGCAUGGAAGCACACUCCUCUGGAACGGUGGCUGAAGCAUGAAGAGGCAUGCAAAUGUUCAGCAUGUCUGGCAGUAAAUACCUUGCAAUACCAUAUGAAUGCUAUUUCUCAUUUUCUGGUGACAUUGUAAAUAAGAAGCAGGCAGCAGUAUCUACUGUCAAUUUGUCUUCGCGACUGGCAAAAUAAAGUAGGAUUGAAUAGA